rnacentral:rRNA from 1 species
UAGGGAAUCUUCGGCAAUGGACGGAAGUCUGACCGAGCAACGCCGCGUGAGUGAAGAAGGUUUUCGGAUCGUAAAGCUCUGUUGUAAGAGAAGAACGAGUGUGAGAGUGGAAAGUUCACACUGUGACGGUAUCUUACCAGAAAGGGACGGCUAACUACGUGCCAGCAGCCGCGGUAAUACGUAGGUCCCGAGCGUUAUCCGGAUUUAUUGGGCGUAAAGCGAGCGCAGGCGGUUAGAUAAGUCUGAAGUUAAAGGCUAUGGCUUAACCAUAGUACGCUUUGGAAACUGUUUAACUUGAGUGCAGAAGGGGAGAGUGGAAUUCCAUGUGUAGCGGUGAAAUGCGUAGAUAUAUGGAGGAACACCGGUGGCGAAAGCGGCUCUCUGGUCUGUAACUGACGCUGAGGCUCGAAAGCGUGGGGAGCAAACAGGAUUAGAUACCCUGGUAGUCCACGCCGUAAACGAUGAGUGCUAGGUGUUGGGUCCUUUCCGGGACUCAGUGACGCAGCUNACGCAUUAAGCACUCCGCCUGGGGAGUACGACCGCAAGGUUG